rnacentral:rRNA from 1 species
AGCGUACACGGUGGAUGCCCUGGCAGUCAGAGGCGAUGAAGGACGUGCUAAUCUGCGAUAAGCGUCGGUAAGGUGAUAUGAACCGUUAUAACCGGCGAUUUCCGAAUGGGGAAACCCAGUGUGUUUCGACACACUAUCAUUAACUGAAUCCAUAGGUUAAUGAGGCGAACCGGGGGAACUGAAACAUCUAAGUACCCCGAGGAAAAGAAAUCAACCGAGAUUCCCCCAGUAGCGGCGAGCGAACGGGGAGCAGCCCAGAGCCUGAAUCAGUGUGUGUGUUAGUGGAAGCGUCUGGAAAGGCGCGCGAUACAGGGUGACAGCCCCGUACACAAAAAUGCACAUAUUGUGAGCUCGAUGAGUAGGGCGGGACACGUGGUAUCCUGUCUGAAUAUGGGGGGACCAUCCUCCAAGGCUAAAUACUCCUGACUGACCGAUAGUGAACCAGUACCGUGAGGGAAAGGCGAAAAGAACCCCGGCGAGGGGAGUGAAAAAGAACCUGAAACCGUGUACGUACAAGCAGUGGGAGCACGCUUAGGCGUGUGACUGCGUACCUUUUGUAUAAUGGGUCAGCGACUUAUAUUCUGUAGCAAGGUUAACCGAAUAGGGGAGCCGAAGGGAAACCGAGUCUUAACUGGGCGUUAAGUUGCAGGGUAUAGACCCGAAACCCGGUGAUCUAGCCAUGGGCAGGUUGAAGGUUGGGUAACACUAACUGGAGGACCGAACCGACUAAUGUUGAAAAAUUAGCGGAUGACUUGUGGCUGGGGGUGAAAGGCCAAUCAAACCGGGAGAUAGCUGGUUCUCCCCGAAAGCUAUUUAGGUAGCGCCUCGUGAAUUCAUCUCCGGGGGUAGAGCACUGUUUCGGCAAGGGGGUCAUCCCGACUUACCAACCCGAUGCAAACUGCGAAUACCGGAGAAUGUUAUCACGGGAGACACACGGCGGGUGCUAACGUCCGUCGUGAAGAGGGAAACAACCCAGACCGCCAGCUAAGGUCCCAAAGUCAUGGUUAAGUGGGAAACGAUGUGGGAAGGCCCAGACAGCCAGGAUGUUGGCUUAGAAGCAGCCAUCAUUUAAAGAAAGCGUAAUAGCUCACUGGUCGAGUCGGCCUGCGCGGAAGAUGUAACGGGGCUAAACCAUGCACCGAAGCUGCGGCAGCGACACUGUGUGUUGUUGGGUAGGGGAGCGUUCUGUAAGCCUGUGAAGGUGUGCUGUGAGGCAUGCUGGAGGUAUCAGAAGUGCGAAUGCUGACAUAAGUAACGAUAAAGCGGGUGAAAAGCCCGCUCGCCGGAAGACCAAGGGUUCCUGUCCAACGUUAAUCGGGGCAGGGUGAGUCGACCCCUAAGGCGAGGCCGAAAGGCGUAGUCGAUGGGAAACAGGUUAAUAUUCCUGUACUUGGUGUUACUGCGAAGGGGGGACGGAGAAGGCUAUGUUGGCCGGGCGACGGUUGUCCCGGUUUAAGCGUGUAGGCUGGUUUUCCAGGCAAAUCCGGAAAAUCAAGGCUGAGGCGUGAUGACGAGGCACUACGGUGCUGAAGCAACAAAUGCCCUGCUUCCAGGAAAAGCCUCUAAGCAUCAGGUAACAUCAAAUCGUACCCCAAACCGACACAGGUGGUCAGGUAGAGAAUACCAAGGCGCUUGAGAGAACUCGGGUGAAGGAACUAGGCAAAAUGGUGCCGUAACUUCGGGAGAAGGCACGCUGAUAUGUAGGUGAAGCGACUUGCUCGUGGAGCUGAAAUCAGUCGAAGAUACCAGCUGGCUGCAACUGUUUAUUAAAAACACAGCACUGUGCAAACACGAAAGUGGACGUAUACGGUGUGACGCCUGCCCGGUGCCGGAAGGUUAAUUGAUGGGGUCAGCGCAAGCGAAGCUCUUGAUCGAAGCCCCGGUAAACGGCGGCCGUAACUAUAACGGUCCUAAGGUAGCGAAAUUCCUUGUCGGGUAAGUUCCGACCUGCACGAAUGGCGUAAUGAUGGCCAGGCUGUCUCCACCCGAGACUCAGUGAAAUUGAACUCGCUGUGAAGAUGCAGUGUACCCGCGGCAAGACGGAAAGACCCCGUGAACCUUUACUAUAGCUUGACACUGAACAUUGAGCCUUGAUGUGUAGGAUAGGUGGGAGGCUUAGAAGUGUGGACGCCAGUCUGCAUGGAGCCGACCUUGAAAUACCACCCUUUAAUGUUUGAUGUUCUAACGUUGACCCGUAAUCCGGGUUGCGGACAGUGUCUGGUGGGUAGUUUGACUGGGGCGGUCUCCUCCUAAAGAGUAACGGAGGAGCACGAAGGUUGGCUAAUCCUGGUCGGACAUCAGGAGGUUAGUGCAAUGGCAUAAGCCAGCUUGACUGCGAGCGUGACGGCGCGAGCAGGUGCGAAAGCAGGUCAUAGUGAUCCGGUGGUUCUGAAUGGAAGGGCCAUCGCUCAACGGAUAAAAGGUACUCCGGGGAUAACAGGCUGAUACCGCCCAAGAGUUCAUAUCGACGGCGGUGUUUGGCACCUCGAUGUCGGCUCAUCACAUCCUGGGGCUGAAGUAGGUCCCAAGGGUAUGGCUGUUCGCCAUUUAAAGUGGUACGCGAGCUGGGUUUAGAACGUCGUGAGACAGUUCGGUCCCUAUCUGCCGUGGGCGCUGGAGAACUGAGGGGGGCUGCUCCUAGUACGAGAGGACCGGAGUGGACGCAUCACUGGUGUUCGGGUUGUCAUGCCAAUGGCACUGCCCGGUAGCUAAAUGCGGAAGAGAUAAGUGCUGAAAGCAUCUAAGCACGAAACUUGCCCCGAGAUGAGUUCU